CCGAUUGUGUGUGUAUUAUGCACGAAUUAUUUCAUUGACCCCGACUGCGGAUCAGACGUGAUUACCUGCUGAACUUAAGCAUAUCACUAAGCUGAGGAAAAGAAACUAACAAGGAUUCCCCUAGUAACUUCGAGUGAACAGGGAUUAGCCAAACACCGAAGCCUGCGGUUAAUUGAUCGUAAGGCAAUGUGGUGUUUGGGAUGGCUUCAGGCAUUACAGCUCUGUCCCAAGUUCAGCAAUGAGUACGGCUUCCCAUUCUGGCCCAAAGAGGGUGAAAGGCCCGUGAGGGCAAAGAUCAAGUGUAACAGUUUUGCUCUGAGCUAACCUUGGAGUCAGGUUGUUUGUGAAUGCACUCCAAUGGGUGGUCAACUCCAUCCAAGGCUAAAUA
rnacentral:ncRNA from 1 species